rnacentral:tRNA from 1 species
AUCUUUCUAGUAUUAAAAACAGUACAAGUGACUUCCAAUUAUUCAGUCUUGGUUAAAGCCCAAGGAAAGAUA